ACCUUAUCAAUUUAUUUUUAUUAAAUUUUGUACCAUAUCAUAAAGUUAUAACUAAUAGUGUAAAAAAUAAAAUUUUAUUUUUUCUCCUAACCAAGAACAGUCGUUACAUUUCUUAGCGAAACAUGAUCGGUUUUAUUGAAUAUUUCAGAUGAGAUCAUAGUUUAAUAAUUCAAACCCAAUUUCAUAGAAAUUUCGUGAUGACGACCCCUUGAUUAUCUUUAAAGUUAACCUGGUCAUACUUUAAUUAAUUUUCUUUUUUUUUGGGGUUUACAGUUAGAUGGAAGGAUAGAUCGUGAUCUUGAAGGGAAUUUGGUAAUACCCUAAGAUGAUGUUGUGAAGCUGUUACCUCAUCAUAUAGCCGAAUGUUUAUUCAGAAGGUAUAAAGACUGUAUACCACUUUCCAUAGGGGAAUGAACAGCUUACCAGUUCACAGCAAAUGAAAGUUGCAUUUAUAAUGCAGUGUCCAUUAUCCUCUAUAGAAAUGAAGAUACGGCUGUGGUACUGAAGCUGGCUGAAGUGUUGAAAUGGUGGAUAAUAUGGUAUCAUUUCCAAAAUAUAUUGUAGAAGAAUUCAAAGAGAAAACUGACCUGUGGGUUAAAUCUACCCUGCAGCAGGUGAUUGCAGCCUCAACAGCAGAGGAAGUAGAGUAUGGAUGCAGAAAAGAGCUGGUCUCGACUAUUCAAUAUCCAUACAGGGACCCGAACUGUUUCCCAUUGUUGUUUCCCAUUGUUUUCAUGUCCAAUACAACAGCACUGCAAAAAAUACCAGCAGUACAGCAGCUGAUUGUGCCACCAUUAACAUUCUCAGCUAGACUAUCAUCUUUACACUUGGUUUUGAUGCCUACCAAGCCAAGACAUAUGUAAGAUAUAAAAGGUGUAGGCCUCACUUCAUCCUGCAAUCAGCUAACUAUUGUACAAAUAACAGCAUUGAAUACUACACAAAUUUGCAGGUUAAAGACCUGGAUAUGGAUUUCGAUGUUUAUAUACAAGUUCUAUGUUAAAAAGAAGAAGUAAACAAGCUCAUGGCUGAACUGGUUCUCACGAGACAUAAACCAGCUGACCACUGUCAAUCAUCUCAUGUUGACAACUUUAUAUCAUUCCAUGUUGAUCACUGCAUAUCAUUGUGACAUCCAUUUUCAUUUUUUUCUUCUUCAAAAAACGUUUAUCUGUAGAUAUUUGUUGCAAAACCUGUUGACUAAAUCUAUAUUUAAA